rnacentral:rRNA from 1 species
GACGAACGCUGGCGGCGUGCCUAAUACAUGCAAGUAGGACGCAGUUGCGAACGGGUGAGUAACGCGUAGGUAACUGCCUCUUAGAGGGGGAUCACUAUUGGAAACGAUAGCUAAUACCGCAUACUAGUAGAUGGACCUGCGUUGUAUUAGGUAGUAGGUAGGGUAAUGGCCUACCUAGGCGACGAUACAUAGCCGACCUGGGAGGGUGAACGGCCAACCUGGGACUGAGACACGGCCCAGAAUCCUACGGGAGGGAGCAGUAGGGAAUCUUCGGCAAUGGGGGGAACCCUGACCGAGGAACGCCGCGUGAGUGAAGAAGGUUUUCGGAUCGUAAAGCUCUGUUGUUAAGGAAGCGGUACUUAACCAGAAAGGGACGGCUAACUACGUGCCAGCAGCCGCGGUAAUAC